AUAUAUAUAUAUAUAUACCUUUCUUUAUUUUGAGUGUAUUUGUUGAACUGUAUAAGAACACUGCAAAAAAACAAAAACUAACAAAAAUAAAACGAUGAAAAAAACUGUAAUUGCUCAAACAAUGGAAGAUGAAAUUGAUUUCAGAUCAUCUUUUUGAAAAAUGUUGGUGUUGUGCAAAAGUUAUAGAAUCGCAUAUUUAGAGCCUAGACAGGGAUUGUGUUUUCGACACUGUUAGCUGUAUAAUGUCAAUAGUGCAGUGUAAAACUUUACACUUUCAUUAAAUUACAGGGAUCUUUUCCCAGAGUCUUCCUGGAGUAUUGAUGAUACUUGAUGGUAUUGAUAAUACUUGAUGAUAGUAUAAUGAUAGUAAUAGUUACACACACACACACACACACACACACACACACACACACACACACACACACACACACACACAAUAAUUUAUAUGUGACUUUUUUGACAUGAAGGUGAUGGAUGAGCUACAAAUGAGAGAUCUUUGUCUCAAACUAGAGACCCUGAUGUGCCUGUUAUUUUGUUGUGCAUCUGGGCUGGUUAAAGUUAGCGUUUUAUCUUAAGACUGUGCAUUUCCAAACAUUCCUUUUGACAUUAAUUGUAAUAAUCCAGUGAGAUUUUCGUAUGCACAAGCAGGUUGGUGUCAUCCAGUGUUUUGGAGACGUUGCCGCAGUUCUUCUGGAUUUAGUCUAUUUUCUGAUUCUUCAUGUAAUCCCAGACAGACUCGAUGACUGUGAGAUCAGAUCAUAUAAGACUCUUUCUGCAUAGAAAAAUCUCACUGGAUUAUAAGGAUUAGUGGCAAAAAGGAAUGUUUUGGAAAUGUAAACUGAAAUUUCCUGGUCACACAUUAAAGUGAAGUAAAUAAAUAACUUGCUAACUCAUUUUUUUUUUUUUUGGUGAAAAUAAUAAUGUACCUUAGACUUUUGCACUACUGUAUAUGUGAAUGUAGAGUGAAUUCUCUAUCCAGUCAAAAUCCAUAUGAAGACAAGACACAUUGUUAGUUCUACUCUCAUGUUGCUUGUCAUGCUGUAUACUCUAAAAUAAAAUAAAGAAAUAUUUUGA